rnacentral:rRNA from 1 species
AUUUUACAACAAAAUAAUUCGCCAGAGGACUACUAGCAAUAGCUUAAAACUCAAAGGACUUGGCGGUGCUUUAUAUCCCUCUAGAGGAGCCUGUUCUAUAAUCGAUAAACCCCGAUAAACCUCACCACCUUUCGCUAAUUCAGUCUAUAUACCGCCAUCUUCAGCAAACCCUCAAAAGGUAGAACAGUAAGCACAAUCAUUUUACAUAAAAAAGUUAGGUCAAGGUGUAACUUAUAAGGUGGGAAGAAAUGGGCUACAUUUUCUACCCAAGAACAUUUCACGAAUGUUUUUAUGAAAUUAAAAACUGAAGGAGGAUUUAGUAGUAAAUUAAGAAUAGAGAGCUUAAUUGAAUAGGGCCAUGAAGCACGCACACACCGCCCGUCACCCUCCU